GGGUUGUGAGGUUAAGCGACUAAGCGUACACGGUGGAUGCCCCGCAGUCAGAGGCGAUGAAGGACGUGCUAAUCUGCGAAAAGCGUCGGUAAGGUGAUAUGAACCGUUAUAACCGGCGAUGUCCGAAUGGGGAAACCCAGUGCAAUUCGUUGCACUAUCGUUAACUGAAUACAUAGGUUAACGAGGCGAACCGGGGGAACUGAAACAUCUAAGUACCCCGAGGAAAAGAAAUCAACCGAGAUUCCCCCAGUAGCGGCGAGCGAACGGGGAGCAGCCCAGAGUCUGAAUCAGCUUGUGUGUUAGUGGAACGGUCUGGAAAGUCCGACGGUACAGGGUGAUAGUCCCGUACACCAAAAUGCACAGGCUGUGAACUCGAAGAGUAGGGCGGGACACGUGGUAUCCUGUCUGAAUAUGGGGACCAUCCUCCAAGGCUAAAUACUCCUGACUGACCGAUAGUGAACCAGUACCGUGAGGGAAAGGCGAAAAGAACCCCGGCGAGGGGAGUGAAAAAGAACCUGAAACCGUGUACGUACAAGCAGUGGGAGCACCUUCGGGUGUGACUGCGUACCUUUGUAUAAUGGGUCAGCGACUUAUAUUCUGUAGCAAGGUUAACCGUAUAGGGGAGCCGCAGGGAAACCGAGUCUUAACUGGGCGUUAAGUUGCAGGGUAUAGACCCGAAACCCGGUGAUCUAGCCAUGGGCAGGUUGAAGGUUGGGUAACACUAACUGGAGGACCGAACCGACUAAUGUUGAAAAAUUAGCGGAUGACUUGUGGCUGGGGGUGAAAGGCCAAUCAAACCGGGAGAUAGCUGGUUCUCCCCGAAAGCUAUUUAGGUAGCGCCUCGUGAACUCAUCUUCGGGGGUAGAGCACUGUUUCGGCUAGGGGGUCAUCCCGACUUACCAACCCGAUGCAAACUACGAAUACCGAAGAAUGUUAUCACGGGAGACACACGGCGGGUGCUAACGUCCGUCGUGAAGAGGGAAACAACCCAGACCGCCAGCUAAGGUCCCAAAGUCAUGGUUAAGUGGGAAACGAUGUGGGAAGGCACAGACAGCCAGGAUGUUGGCUUAGAAGCAGCCAUCAUUUAAAGAAAGCGUAAUAGCUCACUGGUCGAGUCGGCCUGCGCGGAAGAUGUAACGGGGCUAAACCAUGCACCGAAGCUGCGGCAGCGACACUAUGUGUUGUUGGGUAGGGGAGCGUUCUGUAAGCCUGCGAAGGUGUGCUGUGAGGCAUGCUGGAGGUAUCAGAAGUGCGAAUGCUGACAUAAGUAACGAUAAAGCGGGUGAAAAGCCCGCUCGCCGGAAGACCAAGGGUUCCUGUCCAACGUUAAUCGGGGCAGGGUGAGUCGACCCCUAAGGCGAGGCCGAAAGGCGUAGUCGAUGGGAAACAGGUUAAUAUUCCUGUACUUGGUGUUACUGCGAAGGGGGGACGGAGAAGGCUAUGUUAGCCGGGCGACGGUUGUCCCGGUUUAAGCAUGUAGGCUGGUUGUCCAGGCAAAUCCGGAUAAUCAAGGCUGAGGUGUGAUGACGAGGCACUACGGUGCUGAAGUAACAAAUGCCCUGCUUCCAGGAAAAGCCUCUAAGCAUCAGGUAACAUCAAAUCGUACCCCAAACCGACACAGGUGGUCAGGUAGAGAAUACCAAGGCGCUUGAGAGAACUCGGGUGAAGGAACUAGGCAAAAUGGUGCCGUAACUUCGGGAGAAGGCACGCUGGUGUGUAGGUGAAGUCCCUGCGGAUGGAGCUGAGACCAGUCGAAGAUACCAGCUGGCUGCAACUGUUUAUUAAAAACACAGCACUGUGCAAACACGAAAGUGGACGUAUACGGUGUGACGCCUGCCCGGUGCCGGAAGGUUAAUUGAUGGGGUUAUCCGUAAGGAGAAGCUCUUGAUCGAAGCCCCGGUAAACGGCGGCCGUAACUAUAACGGUCCUAAGGUAGCGAAAUUCCUUGUCGGGUAAGUUCCGACCUGCACGAAUGGCGUAAUGAUGGCGGGCUGUCUCCACCCGAGACUCAGUGAAAUUGAACUCGCUGUGAAGAUGCAGUGUACCCGCGGCAAGACGGAAAGACCCCGUGAACCUUUACUAUAGCUUGACACUGAACAUUGAGCCUUGAUGUGUAGGAUAGGUGGGAGGCUUUGAAGCGUGGACGCCAGUCUGCGUGGAGCCAACCUUGAAAUACCACCCUUUAAUGUUUGAUGUUCUAACGUUGGCCCCUUACCGGGGUUGCGGACAGUGUCUGGUGGGUAGUUUGACUGGGGCGGUCUCCUCCCAAAGCGUAACGGAGGAGCACGAAGGUUAGCUAAUCCUGGUCGGACAUCAGGAGGUUAGUGCAAUGGCAUAAGCUAGCUUGACUGCGAGCGUGACGGCGCGAGCAGGUGCGAAAGCAGGUCAUAGUGAUCCGGUGGUUCUGAAUGGAAGGGCCAUCGCUCAACGGAUAAAAGGUACUCCGGGGAUAACAGGCUGAUACCGCCCAAGAGUUCAUAUCGACGGCGGUGUUUGGCACCUCGAUGUCGGCUCAUCACAUCCUGGGGCUGAAGUAGGUCCCAAAGGGUAUGGCUGUUCGCCAUUUAAAGUGGUACGCGAGCUGGGUUUAGAACGUCGUGAGACAGUUCGGUCCCCUAUCUGCCGUGGGCGCUGGAGAAUUGAGGGGGCUGCUCCUAGUACGAGAGGACCGGAGUGGACGCAUCACUGGUGUUCGGGUUGUCAUGCCAAUGGCACUGCCCGGUAGCUAAAUGCGGAAGAGAUAAGUGCUGAAAGCAUCUAAGCACGAAACUUGCCCCGAGAUGAGUUCUCCCUGAGACUUUAAGUCUCCUGAAGGAACGUUAAAGACGAUGACGUUGAUAGGCCGGGUGUGUAAGCGCAGCGAUGCGUUGAGCUAACCGGUACUAAUGAACCGUGAGGCUUAACCUUACAACGCCGAAG
rnacentral:rRNA from 1 species